UUUCCCAUUUCUUUUAUUACUCGUCUGGUGAAUGAUAUUGUUCGUACUACAAAUCUUUAUCCUAUUAUGACUUUAGUUUUUGUUCUAAUAUAUGUAGUUUCAUAAUAUCUAUAAAAUGAUCUUUUUUAGUUAUUAAGAUAUUUAGACUCUAUUCACUGCACUCAGCUAUUUUUUAUCGCCAUUAGAGAGAUCAAAUAACUUCAGAAACUUUUUUUUUUUAAUAAAAUUUAGUAAAAGGACAGGCGAAUGUGUGCUAACUGCAGAAAAUUGAUACCAAUGUGUACUAAAAUGCUAAUGGUGCGCCGCUAGCAUGGAGGGGCAUGUCAGCAUUCACAUGUCUUGUGCUGCUGUUUCGUGUUGUGCUAUGCCAUUAGUAUGGUAAUCCUUGUAUCACAAAGGAAAAAUAAAUUUUCCAUUGUUUUACUUUUCCUUUAAAACAAUUACGGUCCAAAAACAUUUUCUUUCCUACAAAUACCAAACAUCUGAGACUCAAAAUUUAUAUUUCAUUGAAAUAGUUCUUCGUAAACCACAGUUUUUUACGGAGCCAAACUGCCUCCAGGGUAAAAAGAUUUUUUGCCUUCUUUCUAGUUUAAUUUAAUUUUGUCUCUUUUCAUGUUAUUGGUCUUCGAUAUGGAUAAUAUAUUUCUAAGUUUGCGUGCUUGGUCAAUCUUUAAGCCUGUAAGUUCAUCUCUUACUUGAUAAGAUGUCAUUCUGUAAGAGAUCUUUAUGAAAUAAAGAGUUUCUUGAUCUUUAUUGUUUUCUUUUUUUUGUUUCACGGCCGCUAAAGAGUGUUUGUAGUUUUUUGCUGCAAGAAUAAUAUGAUUUCAAAAAUGAUUUGUAUUUGCUUGAUUUUCUUGCUGUAAGAUUAUUUUUAUUCAGUGAAUCAAGAUGACAUUUUUUCUGUUAACAGGGAAGAUACUUUUUGAUCUUAUUUCUUAUAUAAAGAACGUAUUCCUUUUGGUCGGCAAAUAGAUGCAAUGCUUACUAUAUUCAUAGUAACUGGCUUCCUGUUUUAGAAUUGCAAAUUUCUUACUUUUUUAAGGAAGGUCCUACUUUCGUCGGUCUUUUUUCUCUAAUUUUGCUGUACAGAAUUGUUCAUUUAUUUAUACUAAGUAUGUGAUUUUGGGCUUUGGUAUUGCUUCAAUCACCUUUUGAAAUAAAUUUUAGCUAUGCUAUUUGCAUUUAAAGUUCAUCUUUUCCUAGAGCUUUUUAAUGUAGUCCGAAAUCUUAAUUCGUUAUUAUUCGGACAUGUUUAUAUUUCAGUUUGGUAUGAGUUGCUGCGAAUAGUUGGAGCUUAAGAGUAAAAAAUAGGGAUUUAAUAAAUGGUGAUUGCAACUUUUAGUCACUUUGUUGUUAGUUUCAGUUUCCUGUUAGUUGUUUGGCCGUCUUUUUCUUUAUUGAUGGAUUUAACACUUUCUUUUAAAAUUUAAAGAUUUGGUAUAACACUAUAACAGGAGAGCAUUUCGAGCAGAGCAUAAUAAGACGUGUGUGUGUGUGUGUGUGUGUGUCUCAGGCAUUGAAAUUAAUAUUGUCAUAAAUCUUUGUUAUUUCUACUAUGCUUGUGCUUUGAAGAAAUUUAUCAAUUGUAUGCAGUGUUGGUUCUUGUUGACUGGAAAUAUUUGGAGCAAUUAGUGGUGAGUUAGUGAGUACGAUUGCAUAUUGAGACCCACUAUACAAAUAAGAAGACUUUUUCCAAUUUCUUUUAUUACUUUUUUUCUAGCGAAUGAUAUUGUUCGUACUAUAAAUCCUUACCCUAUUAUGACUUUAGUUUUAUUCUAAUGUAUGCCUAUAAAAUGAUAUUUUUUAGUUAUUAAGGUAUUUAGGCUUUAUUCUUACUGCACUCAGCUAUUUUUAUGGCCAUUUGAGAGCUCAUAUAACUUCAGAAACAAUUUUCUUUUUUAACAAAAUUUAGUAAAAGAACUUAUGCGAAUGUAUCCCAAGUGCAGAGAACUCAUACCAAUAUGUACUAAAAUGAUAGUGGUGUGCCGCUAGCAUGGAGGGGCGUGUCAGCUUUCGCAUCUCUUGUGCUACUGUGUCGUGUUGUGCUGUGCUGUCAGCAUGGUAAUUCUUGUAUCACGAAGGAAAAAUAAAUUUUCCGCCCUUUUACUUUUCCUUUAAAACAAUUACAGUCCAAAAACUUUUUCUUUCCUAGAAAUACCAAACAUCUGAGACACUAAAAUUUCUAUUUCAUUAAAACAAUUUUUCGUAGUCCAUAGUUUUUUGUGGAGCCAAAUAGCCUCCAGGGUAAAAGGAUUUUUCGCUUUCUUUCUAGUUUAAUUGUCUCUUUUAAUGUUAUUGGUCUUCAAGAUGGAUUCUUGGUAGUCAAUUAUUUUAUUAUAUUUUUGAUUAAAGCAAUUUAAUAUAUUUCUAUGUUUUCGUGUUUGGUCAAAUCUUUAAGCCUGUAAGUUCAUCUCAUACUUGAUAAGAUGCCAUUCUGUAAGAGAUCUUUAUGACAUAAAAAGGUUCUUGAUCUUUAUGGUUUCUUUUCGGUUCACGGUCGCUUAUGAGUGUUUGUAGUUUACUGCUGAAAGAAUAAUAUGAUUUCAAAAAUGAUUUGUAUUUGCUUGAUUUUUUUGCUGUAAGAUUAUUUUUAUUCAAUGAAUCAAGACGACAAUAUUUCGAUUAAUAGGGAAGUUACUUUUUGAUCUUAUUUCUUAUAUAAAGAACGUAUUACUUUUUGUUGGCAAAUAGAUGCAAUGCUUACUAUAUGCAUAGUAACUGGCUUCCUGCUUUAGAAUUGCAAACUUAUUACUUUUUUAAGGAAGGUCCUCUUUUCGUCGAUCUUUUUUCUCUAGUUCAGCUGUACUGAAUCGUUCGUUUAUUUAUACUAAGUAUGUGCUUUUGGGCUUUGGUACUGCUUCAAUCACCUUUUGAAAUAAAUUUUAGCUAUGCUAUUUGCAAUAAAGUUCAUCUUUUCCUGGAGCUUUUUAAUGUAGUCUGAAAUCUUAAUUCAUUAUUAUUUGGACGUGUUUAUAUUUCGGUUUGGUAUGAGUUGUUGUGAAUAGUUGGUGCUUAAGUGUGAAAAAUGGGGAUAUAAUAAAUGGUGAUUGCAACUUUUAGUCACUUUGUUGUCAGUUUCAGUUUCCUCUUAAUUGUUUGGUCAUCUUUUUCUGUAUUGAUGGUUUUGCCACUUUCUUUUAAAUAUUUGGUAUAACAGGAAGCAGAACGUAAUGAGAUUGCUGUGUGUGUGUAAGUUUGUCUCAAGCAUUGAAAUUUAUAUCUUUAUUAUUUCUACUAUGCUUGUGCUUUGAAGAAAUUUAUCAACUGCAUGCUGUGUUUAUCCUUGUUGACUGCAAAUAGUCGGGGCAAAUAGUGAUGAAUUAGUUCGAUUGCAUAUUGAGAUCAACUAUACAAAUAAGAAGACUUUUUUCCCAUUUCUUUUAUACUUUUUGUCUAGCGAAUGAUUUUGUUCGUACUAUAAAUCUUUACCCUAUUAUCACUUUAGUUUUGUUCUAAUAUAUGUAGUUUCAUAGUAUCUAUAAAAUGAUAUUUUCAGUUAUUAAGAUAUUUACACUCUAUUCUUACUGCACUUAGCUAUUUUUAUGGCCAUUAGAGAGAUCAAAUCACUUCAGAUACUAUUUUCUUUAUUAACAAAAUUUAGUAAAAGAACUUAUGCGACUGUGUGCCAAGUGCAGAGAACUCAUACCAGUGUGUACUAAAAUGAUAGUUGUGUACCGCUAGCAUGGAGGGGCGUGUUAGUAUUCGCAUGUCUUGUGCUACUGUGUCGUGUUGUGCUGUGCCAUUAGCAUGGUAAUCCUUGUAUCAUAAAGGAAGAAUAAAUUUUUAGUCCUUUUACUUUUCCGUUAAAACAAUUACGGUCCAAAAUCUUUUUCUUUCCUACAAAUACCAAACAUCUGAGACUGAAAUUUCUAUUUCACUGAAACAGUUUUUCGUAGACCUCAGUAUUUUGUGGUGCCAAACUGCCUCAAGGGUAAAAUGGUUUUUGCUUUACUUCUAGUCUAAUUUUGUCUUUUUUCAUGUUAUUGGUCUUCGAGAUGGAUUCUUGGUACUUGGUAGUCAAAUAUUUUUUUUAUGUUUUAGAUUAGAGCAAUUUAAUAUAUUUCUAAGUUUUCAUCUCUGGUCAAUUUUCAACCUGUAAGUUCAUCUCUUACUUGAUAAGAUGCCAUUCUGUAAGAGAUCUUUAUGAAAUAAAGAGGUUCUUGAUCUUUAUGUUUUUUUCUUUGGUUCAUGUUUGCUUACGUGUUUGUAGUUUACUGCUGCAAGAAUAAAAUGAUUUCAGAAAUGAUUUGUAUUUGCUUGAUUUUCUAGCUGUAAGAUUAUUUUCAUUCUUUUAAUCAAGAUGACAAUUUUUCUAUUAACAGGGAAGUUACUUUUUGAUUUUAUUUCGUAUAUGAAGAACAAAUUACUUUUGGUCAGUAAAUAGAUUUAAAAAGUACGAGAUGAGUUUUGGUUUCCUUCCCUCUAAAAAACAAAGAGAUUACAUUUGGAAGAUUUUGUUUCUAAACAGAAGAAAUUUCACCCUUUUAGAUACUUUUUCAGACCCAUUGCCGAUACUAAGUUGCAGUCAAAAACAGUUAUACCUCGUGAAAAAAGAUUUUUCCAGAGAUGGCUUACAACCAAUAGUUCAUUAUCUAAUGGAUCUUUCCGUUCUAAUACUCUAUCCGAGAGUUAUUAGUUGCUACGGUAAUACCGUUUAGUUGACCUAUGCUUGUUUGAACAGCUUCAGUUAAACUUGUCUUUCUUUGAUAAGAAUCGAUACGAUCUUUAUUAUUUCUGCUAUGCUUGUGCUUUAAACAAAUUUAUCAACUGUAUGCUGUGUUUAUCCUUCUUGACUGCAAAUAGUCGGAGCAAAUAGUGAUGAGUUAGUGAGUUUGAUUGUAUAUCGAGACCAACUAUACAAAUAAGAAGACUUUUUACCUUUUUUUUUUUUUACUCUUUGUGUAGCGAAUGAUAUUGUUCAUACUAUAAAUCCAUACCCUAUUAUGACUUUAGUUUUGUUCUAAUAUAUGUGGUUUCAUAAUAUCUAUAAAUUGAUCUUUUUUAGUUAUUAAGAAAUUUAGAUUCUAUUCUUACUGCACUCAGCUAUUUUUAUGGCCAUUAGAGAUCAAAUCUCUUUAGAAACUAUUUUCUUUUUUAAUGAAAUUUAGUAAGAGAGCUUGUGCGAAUGUGUGCCAAGUGCAGAGAACUCAUACCAAUGUGUACUAAAAUGAUAGUGGUGUGUCGCUAGCGUGGAGGGGCGUGUCACCAUUCGCAUGUCUUGUGCUGCUGUGUCGUGUUGUGCUGUGCCAUUAGCAUGGUAAUCCUUGUAUCACAAAGGAAAAAUAAAUUUUUUGUUCUUUUACUUUUCCUUUAAAACAAUUACGGUCCAAAACUUUUUCUUUCCUACAAAUACCAAAUAUCUGAGACUUUGAAAUUUCUAUUUCACUGAAACAAUUUUUCGCAGACCACAGUUUUUUGUGGAACCAAACGGCCUCCAGGGUAAAAGGAUAUUUUGCUUUCUUUCUAGUUUAAUUUUGUCUCUUUUCAUGUUAUUGGUCUUCGAGAUGGAUUCUUGGUAGUCAAUUAUUUUAUUAUGUUUUUGAUUAAAGCAAUUUAAUAUAUUUCUAAGUUUUUGUGUUUGGUCAAUCUUUAAGCCUGUAAGUUCAUCUCUUACUUGAUAAGAUGCCAUUCUGUGAGAGAUCUUUAUGACAUAAAGAGGUUCUUGAUCUUUAUGAUUUUUUUUUGUCUUCACGGUUGCUUACAAGUGUUUGUAGUUUUCUGCUGCAAGGAUAAUAUGAUUUCAUAAUGAUUUGUAUUUGCUUGAUUUUCUUGCUAUAAGAUUAUUUUUUAUUCUAUGAAUCAAGACGACAAUUUUUCUGUUAACAGGGAAGUUACUUUUUGAUCUUAUUUCUUAUAUGAAGAACGUAUUACUUUUGGUCGGUAAAUAGAUGCAAUGCUUACAUAAUGCGUAGUAACUGGCUUCCGGCUUUAGAAUUACAAACUUCUUACUUUCUUACGGAAGGUCCUCUUUUCGUCGACCUUUUUUCUCUAGUUCAGCUGUACAUAAUCGUUCGUUUAUUUAUACUAAGUUUGAGCUUUUGGGCUUUGGUAUUGCUUCAAUCACCUUUUGAAAUAAAUUUUAGCUAUGCUAUUUGCAGUUAAAGUUCAUCAUUAUCCGGAGCUUUUUAAUGUAGGCUGAAAUUUUAAUUCAUUAUUAUUUGGACGUGUUUAUAUUUCGGUUUGGUAUGAGUUGCUAUGAAUAGUUGGAGCUUAAGAGUAAAAAAUGGGGAUUUAAUAAAUGGUGAUUGCAACUUUUAGUCACUUUGUUGUCAGUUUCAGUUUCUUGUUAGUUGUUUGGUCACCUUUUUCUUUAUUGAUGGUUUUACCAAUUUAUUUGUAUGAAAGAUUUGGUAUAACUGGAAAGCAUUUCGAGCGGAGUGUAAUGAGAUUUGUGUGUGUGUGUGUGUGUGUGUGCGCGUGUGUCUCAAGCAUUGAAAUUAAUAUUGUUAUAUAUCUUUAUUAUUUCUGCUAUACUUGUGCUUUGAAGAAAUUUAUCAACUGUAUGCUGUGUUUAUCCUUAUUGGCUGCAAAUAGUCGGAGCAAAUAGUGAUGAGUUAGUGAGUUCGAUUGUAUAUUGUUCCCAUUUAUUUUAUUACAUUUUGUGUAGCGAAUGAUAUUGUUCGCACUAUAAAUCCUUACUCUAUUAUGACUUUAGUUUUGUUCUAAUAUAUGUAGUUUCAUAAUAUCUAUAAAUUGAUCUUUUUUAGUUAUUAAGAAAUUUAGACUCUAUUCUUACUGCACUUAGCUAUUUUUAUGGCCAUUAGAGAUCAAAUCUCUUUAGAAACUAUUUUCUUUUUUAAUGAAAUUUAGUAAAAGAAUUUAUGCGAAUGUGUGCCAAGUGCAAAGAACUCAUACCAAUGUGUACUAAAAUGAUAGUGGUGUGCCGCUAGCGUGGAGGGGCGUGUCAGCAUUCGCAUGUCUUGUGCUGCUGUGUCGUGUUGUGCUGUGCCAUUAGUAUGGUAAUCCUUGUAUCACAAAGGAAAAAUAAAUUUUUCGUUCUUUUACUUUUCCUUUAAAACAAUUACAGUCCAAAAACUUUUUUUUUUCCUAAAAAUACCAAACAUCUGAGACUCUGAAAUUUCUAUUUCUCUGAAACAAUUUUUCGCAGAACACAGUUUUUUGUGGAACCAAAUGGCCUCCAGGGUAAAGGAUUUUUUGCUUUCUUUCUAGUUUAAUUUUGUCUCCUUUCAUGUUAUUGGUCUACGAGAUGGAUUCUUGGUAGUCAAUUAUUUUAUUAUGUUUUUGAUUAAAGCAAUUUAAUAUAUUUCUAAGUUCUCAUGUUUGGUCAAUCUUUAAGCCUGUAAGUUCAUCUCUUGAUAAGAUGUCAUUUUGUGAGAGAUCUUUAUGACAUAAAGAGGUUCUUGAUCUUUAUGGUUUUUUUUGUGUUCACGGUCGCUUACGAGUGUUUGUAGUUUUCUGCUGCAAGAAUAAUAUGAUUUUAGAAAUGAUUUGUAUUUGCUUGAUUUUUGUGACGCCCUAACUUUCCAGGGGUCACCCAUCCUAGGACUACUCCCGUCCUAGCACACUUAACUCUCUUAACCUCUUGGACCUUACCACCACCCAAAAUAUUUAAGCCGGGUUAAGAGUUUUUAAUCCUAUUAUAUUUUAUAUAUAGGACUACAUGGGGUCUCACAAUCUCCCCUUUUAAGCCCUGACAUUCUCCUCAGGCUCAAACUCACAAGUACCAGGUGACAUUCUUGUUUAUUUAUACUAAGUUUGAGCUUUUGGGCUUUGGUAUUGCUUCAAUCACCUUUUGAAAUAAAUUUUAAAGUUCAUCUUUUCCUGGAGCUUUUUAAUGUAGUUUGAAAUUUUAAUUCAUUAUUAUUUGGACGUAUUUAUAUUUCGGUUUGGUAUGAGUUGCUGUGAAUAGUUGGAGCUUAAGAGUGAAAAAUAGGGACAAUAAAUAGUGAUUGCAACUUUAAAUCACUUUGUUGUCAGUUUUAGUUUCUGUUAGUUGUUUGGUCACCUUUUUUCUUUAUUGAUGGUUUUACCACUUUAUAUUAAAGAUUUGGUAUAACAGGAAAGCAUUUCGAGUAAUGAGAUUUGUGUGUGUGUGUGUGUUUGUCUCAAGCAUUGAAAUUAAUAUUGUUAUAUAUCAUUAUUAUUUUUGCUAUGCUUGUGCUUUGAAGAAAUUUAUCAACUGUAUGCUGUGUUUAUCCUUGUUGACCGCAAAUAGUCAGAGCAAAUAGUGAUGAGUUAGUUCGAUUGUAUAUUGAGACCAACUAUACAAAUAAGAAGACUUUUUCCCAUUUCUUUUAUUUCUUUUUGUGUAGCGAAUGAUAUUGUUCGUACUAUAAAUCCUUACUCUAUUAUGACUUUAGUUUUGUUCUAAUAUGUAGUUUCAUAAUAUCUAUAAAUUGAUCUUUUUUAGUUAUUAAGAUAUGUUGACUCUAUUCUUACUGCACUCAGCUAUUUUUAUGGCCAUUAGAGAUCAAAUCUCUUUAGAAACUAUUUUCUUUUUUAAUAAAAUUUUGUAAAAGAACUUAUGCAAAUGUGCGCCAAGUGCAGAGAACUCAUACCAAUGUGUACUAAAAUGACAGUGGUGUGUCGCUAGCGUGGAGGGACGUGUCAGCAUUCGCAUGUCUUGUGCUGUCGUGUCGUGUUGUGCUGUGCCAUUGGCAUGGUAAUCCUUGUAUCACAAAGGUUAAAUAAAUUUUUCGUUGUUUUACUUUUCCUUUAAAACAAUUACGGUCGAAAAAAUUUUUCUUUCCGACAUACCAAACAUCUGAGACUCUGAAAUUUCUAUUUCACUGAAACAAUUUUUCGCAGACCACAGUUUUUUUUGUAGCCAAACAGCCUCCAGGGUAAAAGGAUUUUUCGCUUUCCUUCUAGUUUAAUUUUGUCUCGUUUCUUGUUAUUGGACUUUCAGAUGGAUUCUUGGUAGUCAAUUAUUUUAUUAUGUUUUUGAUUAAAGCAAUUUAAUAUAUUUCUAAGUUUUCUUGUUUGGUCAAUCUUUAAGCCUGUAAGUUUUUCUCUUACUUGAUAAUAUGCCAUUCUGUGAGGCAUCUUUCUGACAUAAAGAGGUUUUUGAUCUUUAAGGUUUUUUUUUGUGUCACGGUCGCUUACGAGUGUUUGUAGUUUUCUGCUACAAGAAUAAUAUGAUUUCAGAAAUAAUUUGUAUUUGCUUAAUUUUCUUGCUGUAAGAUUAUUUUUUAUUCUACGAAUCUAGACGACAAUUUUUCUGUUAACCGGGAAAUUACUUUUUGAUCUUAUUUCUUAUAUGAAGAAUGUAUUAGUUUGGUUGGCAAAUAGUUGCAAUGCAUACUAUAUGCAUAGUAACUGGCUUGCUGUUUUAGAAUUGCAAACUUCUUACUUUUUUUGGAAGGUCCUCUAUUCGUCGAUCUUUUUUCUCUAGUUCAGUUGUACAGAAUUGUUCAUUUAUUUAUACUAAGUUUGAGCUUUUGGGCUUUGGUACCGCUUCAAUAGCCUUUUGAAAUAAAUUUUAGCUAUGCUAUUUGCAAUUAAAGUUCAUAUUUCCCUAGAGCUUUUUAAUGUAGUCUGAAAUCUUAAUUCAUUAUUUUUUGGACGUGUUUAUAUUUCGGUUUGGUAUAAGUCGUUGUGAAUAGCUGUAGCCUAAGAAUAAAAAAUAGGGAUUUAAUAAAUGGUGAUCGCAACGCUUAGUCACUUUGUUGUCAGUUUCAGUUUCCUGUUAGUUGUUUGGUCACCUUUUUCUUUAUUGAUGGUUUUGCCACUUUCUUUUAAAGAUUUGGUAUAACAGGAAAGCAUUUCGAGCAGAGCGUAAUGAGAUUUCUGUGUGUGUGUGUGUGUGUGUGUGUGUGUGUGUGUGUCUCAAGCAUUGAAAUAAAUAUUGUUAUAUAUCUUUAUUAUUUCAGCUGUGCUUGUGCUUUGAAAAAAUUUAUCAACUGUAUCAUGUGUUUAUCCUUGUUGACUGCAAAUAGUCGGAGCAAAUAGUGAUGAGCCAGUGAGUUCGAUUGCAUAUUGAGACCAACUAUACAGAUAAGAAGACUUUUUCCCAUUUCUUUAUUACUUUUUGUCUAGUGAAUGAUAUUAUUCGUACUAUAAAUUCUUAUCCUAUUAUGACUUUAGUUUUGUUCUAAUAUAUGUAGUUUCAUAAUAUCUAUAAAAUUAACUUUUUUAGUUAUUAAGAUAUUUAGACUCUAUUCUUACUUCACUCAGCUAUUUUUAUGGCCAUUAGAGAGCUCAAAUAACUUCAGAAAUAAUUUUCUUUUUUAAUAAAAUUUAGUAAAAGAACUUUUCCGAAUGCAUGCCAAGUGCAGUGACUUCAUACCAAUGAGUAAUAAAAUGAGAGUGGUGUGCCACUAGCAUGGAGGGGCGCGUCAGCAUUCGUAUGUCCUAUGCUGCUGUGUCGUGUUGUGCUAUGCCAUUAGCAUAGUAAUCCUUUUAUCACGAGAAAAAUAAAUUUGCCGUUAUUUUACUUUUCCUUUAAAACAAUUACGGUCCAAAAACUUUUAGUUUCCUACGAAUACCAAACAUUUGAGACUCUGAAAUUUCUAUUUCACUGAAACAAUUUUUCGCAGACCACAGUUUUUUGUGGAGCCAAACAGCCUCCAGGGUAAAAGGAUUUUUUCUUAUUUUCUAGUUUAAUUUUGUCUCUUUCAUGUUAUUGGUCUUCGAGAUGGAUUCUUGGUAGUCAAAUAUUUUUUUUAUGUUUUAGAUUAGAGCAAUUUAAUAUAUUUCUAAGUUUUCAGCUCUGGUCAAUUUUCAACCUGUAAGUUCAUUUCUUGCUUGACAAGAUGCCAUUCUGCAAGAGAUCUUUAUGAAAUAAAGAGGUUCUUGAUCUUUAUGGUUUUUUCUUUGGUUCACAGUCGCUUACGAGUUUGUAGUUUACUGAUGCAAGAAUAAUACGAUUUCAGAAAUGAUUUGUGUUUGCUUGAUUUUCAAGCUGUAAGAUUAUUUUCAUUCUUUUAAUCAAGCUGACAAUUUUUCUGUUAACAGGGAACUUUUUGAUCUUAUCUCUUAUAUGACGAAUGUAUUACUUUUGGUCGGUAAAUAGAUGCAAUGCUUACUUUAUGCAUAGUAACUGGCUUCCUGCUUUAGAAUUACAAACUUCUUACUUUUUUAAGGAAGGUCCUCUUUUCGUCGAUCUUUUUUCUCUAGUUUAGCUGUACAGAAUUGUUUGUUUAUUUAUACUAAGUUUGAGCUUUUGGGCUUUGUUACUGCUUCAAUCGCCUUUUGAAAUAAAUUUUAGCUAUGCUAUUUGCAAUUUAAGUUCAUCUUUUCCCGGAGCUUUUUAAUGUAGUUUGAAAUCUUAAUUCAUUAUUAUUUGGACGUGUAUAUAUUUCGGUUUGGUAUGAGUUGCUGUGAAUAGUUGGAGCUUAAGAGUAAGAAAUGGGGAUUUAAUAAAUGGUGAUUGCAACGUUUAGUCACUUUGUUGUCAGUUUCAGUUUCAGUUUCCUGUUAGUUGUUUGGUCACCUUUUUCUUUAUUGAUGGUUUUACCACUUUAUUUUAAAGAUUUGGUAUAACAAGAAGCAUUUCGAGCAGAGCGUAAUGAGAUUUGUGUGCGUCUCAAACAUUGAAAUUACUAUUGUUAUAUAUCUUUAUUAUUUUUGCUAUGGUUGUGCUUUGAAGAAAUUUAUCAACUAUAUGCUGUGUUUAUCCUUGUUGAUUGCAAAUAGUCG
rnacentral:lncRNA from 1 species